rnacentral:rRNA from 1 species
AGAUAGCCAUGCACGUCUAAGUAUAAGCAUUUUAUACGGGUGAAACUGCGAAUGGCUCAUUAAAUCAGUUAUAGUUUAUUUGAUGGUUUNAUNCUUGGAUAACCCGCANGUANAUUCUNUGGCGUAANAAAUGCUGAAUACCCUCUNCCUGGGUUGGAUUUGUUAGAUCUUUACUAACUUUGUUGGUGAAUCAUGAUAAGAUAACNNAUCGCUUAGGGGUAACCCGGCGACCGAUCAUUCAAGUUUCUGCCCUAUCAACUUUCUAUGGUACNGUAUUGNCCUACCAUGGUGACCACGGGUAACGGGGGAUUAGGGUUCGAUUCCGGAGAGGGAGCCUGAGAAAUGGCUACCACUUCUAAAGAAGGCAGCACGCGCGCAAAUUACCCAAUCCUGACCUAGGGAGGUAGUGACAAUACAUACUAAUGCAAGGCUUUGCUUUGCAAUUGGAAUGAGUACAACUUAAACCUGUUAACGANAACCCAUUGNAGGGCAAG